rnacentral:misc_RNA from 1 species
UUUCCGUAGGUGAACCUGCGGAAGGAUCAUUAACAAGCGCAACAGUGUUGCUGCACCAUGUGAAGCGGGCGCGAGCCUCUCUACGUUGUAUGUAAUGCAAAAUAUUAUAAUUUUUAACAAUGGAUCUCUAGGCUCUUGCAUCGAUGAGGAACGCAGC